GCCUUCCUACCUGAAUUCCGGUUGUCACUGGUUCCCUUCCUCCUGGGUGAAAGCCUGGAAUUUUUUUUUUUUUUUUUUUUUUACAUACUGAAGUUCUGGGAAAGAAGUAACUCUUAAGCCAUUGUCUACUAUUAUGUAGAUAGAAUGCUCAGCCUGAAGGUUGAGAGCCCAAAAGGCGGGUUUCAGGUGAGUGGUGCCCACUUCCUUGAUAGAUACACUCUCCCUCACCCUUACAGCAGUACUAAAGUAGUCAGGUGAGCAGUGCCCAAAUGAAGCUGGAAACUUCUAGAGGCUGCUGUGAUGCAGGGGAGGCUGCCCUGAUGUGGGCAUCCCCCCAUCCCUUAACACUCCUAUUAGCCUGUUUACAAACAGUGACAGUAGUUAGCCAACAUUUAGCAAAUGCUUUUACCAGGACAGUGCCCUGGGCUCAGUUCUUCACGAGGUUUUACCAGUACCUAACCAGAUGUUUGUAAGCGCUUAGCAAAUUCCUGGGUCAUGAUGGCAAUUACUACAUACUCAGGACUCUCCUUUGGUGCCUUUAGGUAUUGGUAUUAGUGCCAUUUCACAGAAGUGAAAACUGAGGCGCUAAGCAAUUAAACAUCCAGCCAGACAGAGGAUGUCAGCUCCCUGGUGAGAGGGCAGAGGGUGGGAGCCAGUGAGGAGCCCUCAGCUGGUCUCCAAGUCUUGGGCCUGUGCUCCCUGCCCCGCAGCCACCGCACAGAAUGUGUCUGGAGAAGCUCGGCCUCCCUGCUAGUCGUUCGGGGUGUCCACCCCACCCACCUCCCAGCCCUGCCCUUCAGAUGGUCUCCUGUGCCCACCAGAUACAUUCCUUUUGUUCAAAGCCCUUCCAUGGCUGCCUGCCAUCUAUGGGAUAAAACAAGUGUCAUCAGAAGCCCACAAGCUCCCUCUGUUUGGCUU
rnacentral:lncRNA from 10 species